rfam:TPA: Bos taurus chromosome 20, whole genome shotgun sequence.
UCCCUGGUGGAUCAGAGGUUAAAGCGUCUGCCUGCAAUGCAGGAGACCUGGGUUCGAUCCCUGGGUCGGGAA